rnacentral:rRNA from 1 species
AACGCUGGCGGCGUGCCUAAUACAUGCAAGUCGAGCGGACAGAUGGGAGCUUGCUCCCUGAUGUUAGCGGCGGACGGGUGAGUAACACGUGGGUAACCUGCCUGUAAGACUGGGAUAACUCCGGGAAACCGGGGCUAAUACCGGAUGGUUGUUUGAACCGCAUGGUUCAAACAUAAAAGGUGGCUUCGGCUACCACUUACAGAUGGACCCGCGGCGCAUUAGCUAGUUGGUGAGGUAACGGCUCACCAAGGCAGACGAUGCGUAGCCGACCUGAGAGGGUGAUCGGCCACACUGGGACUGAGACACGGCCCAGACUCUCUACGGGAGGCAGCAGUAGGGAAUCUUCCGCAAUGGACGAAAGUCUGACGGAGCAACGCCGCGUGAGUGAUGAAGGUUUUCGGAUCGUAAAGCUCUGUUGUUAGGGAAGAACAAGUACCGUUCGAAUAGGGCGGUACCUUGACGGUACCUAACCAGAAAGCCACGGCUAACUACGUGCCAGCAGCCGCGGUAAUACGUAGGUGGCAAGCGUUGUCCGGAAUUAUUGGGCGUAAAGGGCUCGCAGGCGGUUUCUUAAGUCUGAUGUGAAAGCCCCCGGCUCAACCGGGGAGGGUCAUUGGAAACUGGGGAACUUGAGUGCAGAAGAGGAGAGUGGAAUUCCACGUGUAGCGGUGAAAUGCGUAGAGAUGUGGAGGAACACCAGUGGCGAAGGCGACUCUCUGGUCUGUAACUGACGCUGAGGAGCGAAAGCGUGGGGAGCGAACAGGAUUAGAUACCCUGGUAGUCCACGCCGUAAACGAUGAGUGCUAAGUGUUAGGGGGUUUCCGCCCCUUAGUGCUGCAGCUAACGCAUUAAGCACUCCGCCUGGGGAGUACGGUCGCAAGACUGAAACUCAAAGGAAUUGACGGGGGCCCGCACAAGCGGUGGAGCAUGUGGUUUAAUUCGAAGCAACGCGAAGAACCUUACCAGGUCUUGACAUCCUCUGACAAUCCUAGAGAUAGGACGUCCCCUUCGGGGGCAGAGUGACAGGUGGUGCAUGGUUGUCGUCAGCUCGUGUCGUGAGAUGUUGGGUUAAGUCCCGCAACGAGCGCAACCCUUGAUCUUAGUUGCCAGCAUUCAGUUGGGCACUCUAAGGUGACUGCCGGUGACAAACCGGAGGAAGGUGGGGAUGACGUCAAAUCAUCAUGCCCCUUAUGACCUGGGCUACACACGUGCUACAAUGGACAGAACAAAGGGCAGCGAAACCGCGAGGUUAAGCCAAUCCCACAAAUCUGUUCUCAGUUCGGAUCGCAGUCUGCAACUCGACUGCGUGAAGCUGGAAUCGCUAGUAAUCGCGGAUCAGCAUGCCGCGGUGAAUACGUUCCCGGGCCUUGUACACACCGCCCGUCACACCACGAGAGUUUGUAACACCCGAAGUCGGUGAGGUAACCUUUUAGGAGCCAGCCGCCGAAGGUGGGACAGAUGAUUGGGGUGAAGUCGUAACAAGCGUAGCCGUAUCG